rnacentral:misc_RNA from 1 species
GAUGAAGAACGUAGCGAAAUGCGAUACUUGGUGUGAAUUGCAGAAUCCCGUGAACCAUCGAGUCUUUGAACGCAAGUUGCGCCCGAAGCCAUUAGGCCGAGGGCACGCCUGCCUGGGCGUCACACGUCGUUGCCCCCCAUCUACUCCUUCGGGAUUGCGGGGGGCGGAUGAUGGCCUCCCGUGCGCCUCGCCGCGCGGUUGGCAUAAAUGCCAAGUCCUCGGCGACGCACGCCACGACAAUCGGUGGUUGCGAAACCUCGGUUGCCCGUCGUGUGCGGUCGUCGCGCAUCGAGGGCUCGAAAAAAUUGCCGGGUUCCGGCUCGGCUUUCAACGCGACCCCAGGUCAGGCGGGGUUACCCGCUGAAUUUAAGCAUAUCAAUAAGCGGAGGA